rnacentral:lncRNA from 1 species
ACCUAGUGAUUUUCUAGUUUUUAAUGUUUUAACGCUUCCUUUACCUUGUCUCCUUAAUGUUUAUUUUAUCUAACUACUUAUCUUAAACUAUCAAUCUAACUACUUAAAUUGAACGACUAAAGUUGAAGAAAAAUAUUGUGCUAUGCCGAAAAUAAGAGUCUACAAUAACUAAAAAAGUAGUCAUCUACCUGGAUCUCUGAGUGUCCUGAUCAUGGUCUAUUUCUAGCUUAUUUCCCUGGAGUAAUAAUAGAGGAUAUGAAAUGUGAAACACAAGUAUUUAUCAUACAAUAUACAUAUACAACACACAACACACAAAAAUAUUUGAUGUAACAUAACCUCAAACAACAUCUAGCGGCUAUACACAACAUUUUAUCAACACAUUCUUUCAUUAUCUUAAUCUUUUGAGAUCGAUUUCCGUAGAGGAAAUCGAAACGGUAAGUAUUUUUGGGUAUAUAAAUAAAUAUGUAAUUUUAAUUUCAACCAAAUUGUGGCUAUUGUGACUAAUCCCAUAAAACAAACAUUUAAAAUAGUUGCCUAUUUAAUGAUAAGUAAAAAAUUCGAAAAAAUUGCAUUUUUUGCACAUAAUUGAUAACUAAAAAUUUAGCGUGAUGCCAUAUGUUGAAGGUAUGUUGGUGAAUCAUGACUGUGUCUGACUAUGACUGAAUCAUCAAUAACUAAUACAUAUAGAAAAUGCGGACGCUACGUGAUUCAUUCCCAGAUUAUCAUGUCAUACAUGUCUGUCAUAUAUAAAAAUAUGUAUAAAAUGUGUACAAAAGUAUAUUCACAAAGUACGGAGACGAUGAUUCGCUGCCAAAA